rnacentral:rRNA from 1 species
UGGGGAAUAUUGCACAAUGGGCGCAAGCCUGAUGCAGCCAUGCCGCGUGUAUGAAGAAGGCCUUCGGGUUGUAAAGUACUUUCAGCGGGGAGGAAGGGAGUAAAGUUAAUACCUUUGCCCAUUGACGUUACCCGCAGAAGAAGCACCGGCUAACUCCGUGUCAGCAGCCGCGGUAAUACGGAGGGUGCAAGCGUUAAUCGGAAUUACUGGGCGUAAAGCGCACGCAGGCGGUUUGUUAAGUCAGAUGUGAAAUCCCCGGGCUCAACCUAGGAACUGCAUCUGAUACUGGCAAGCUUGAGUAUCGUAGAGGGGGGUAGAAUUCCAGGUGUAGCGGUGAAAUGCGUAGAGAUCUGGAGGAAUACCGGUGGCGAAGGCGGCCCCCUGGACGAAGACUGACGCUCAGGUGCGAAAGCGUGGGGAGCAAACAGG